rnacentral:sRNA from 2 species
GUGGCAAUUGGCUAGUGUCGAACUGGUCAGUGGUAUCUGGGGCGCAUUUGUGGGCUUUGCUUUGCGCCAAAAUGCCGUGAUGCGCAUGGCUGGGUCUACUUGCGUGAACCUCGGUGUCGGGUGAAGAUUCUUUCUUGUCUUGGGGAUUGGGAGUUUGUUGGUAUCCGGAGUAAUUUUGGUGGGAUAAGGGUGGGAAUGAUGGGUAUGAACAUGUGUUUGUGGGUAUUUUCUUUUUGUUUCGCCCCCUGCUUCUUGACCUUUUUUUAACGCAUUAUUUGGUUUCGAGAGCGAAAACUGCUACGUUUGUUAUUCUAUUAUUAUUCGGGGUUCCAAACGAUAAUUCACCCCACCCACAAUCAGUUAAUAGUGGCAUCUUCAAACGCUACAUUAUUCUAACGGCAUAAGUGAAAACCGAUGAGAGAAAUCCAUCCAUCCCACCCAAACCUGCCCUGGAACCAAGGGUUUACAACUCGCAGCUGCCCUCCCUCAUGAGACAAUACGUCAUCUGCGCCAAGCUCGCUCCAACACCCAAAUCGACCACAGCUCGCUCACGCCAUUCACUCAAGCGAUACGAAGCAUCCUGAAUCUGAUUUGCGGUCCGCGGUCCACUCCAGAGUACCUCAGCUGCCGCAGCUGCCCGCGGCCAGACCAUCAUGUCCAGGGCAACUGGGUCAACAUUCUCCGACCACAUGUGCGUCUCGCCGCCUUCAAGCAAAUGGUGCAGAUCCUCUGAAAUCCCUUCCAGCGGAUUGUACAUGUACAUGUGCUUCCAGUUUUUCUUCGGGCUACACCAGUCGAGGAAGGGUUCUUUGAUUGCGGUCGAGCUGCGUUUAGGGUUUACGUAGGUGCCUUGCCCGCAAUCGAGGUACCAGGCGUCACCAGAGCCGAAGAUCGUGCGGUAUCCUCGGUCUAAUAGAUAUUUAACAGCAGUAGAGUUGCGCCAUGCUUGCACGAUUAUUUCGGUUUUCUCAGUUGGGGAAGGGGAGAGUGAUAGGUCCCAGUCUGCCACGAGCUCUUCCCAGACAAUAGGUGUGAGUCCUGCUUUGCGGAUGGCGGUGUGCAGCCGAGUGACAACAGCUUGAAGUAAAGGACGGAGGACUUCUUCCUUGCUGGAUCCGAUUGCCUCUUCGAGAAGAUAUGUGUUAAGAUUGAAUUCAUCGCCCCCCGUAUGGAAAUAGCGGGUAAAUGGCGAGACUCGAGGGAGCAGGUCUGCCAUCAACUCGUCAAGGAAUUUAUCCACGUCUGACGAAUUUAACUUGAUUUGCCCGCUGGGAGGUUGGAGUGCAUACUUCUCCCACUCGUCAGCGAGGAAUGCGGAAACCAGCUCGGGAAACGCGUAUCCAAUGGAGCCCGUGUGGCCUGGCAUAUCGAUUUCGAGGAAUACUGAAACACCCCGUUCAAGGCCAUACAUUUGGAUAUCAGACAGCUUGGAAGAGGUCAAUAUCAGACUGGGAUGGUAGGCGCCCUUGGCAGCCAAUUCAGGCAUCGAGGGGAUGUCCAAAGGCCAAGACUGGGAGUCCGUAGCAUGGAUAUGAAGACGGUUCAUUUUCGCGGAAGCCAUUGCAUCAAUUGUACGUUUGAUAUCCUCGGGCGUGUACGCGUUUCUGGAUAUAUCGAGGUUCAGGCCACGGUGACCCCAUUUAGGGGCGUCCGAUAUGGAAAUUGGUGCGUAUGGGGUAUACACCCCCGACCCCGAAGAAUGCGCGUAGAAGAGCUGCUUAAAGGUUUGAAGUGCACGGAUAGUUCCGAUGGCGGAAUUGGUCGAAAUCGUCGCUUCACCGGUAGCAAGUAUUUCAAUGGUGUAGCUCUCAUCUUCGUGGAUGUAGUCUCGGACCUCCCUCUGCGACUGGUUUGCAGACAUUUGCUUGAUUAUAACUUGGCGGAUAACUGCAUCCGGUCGAUUCAAAGCGGGCUCAUAGGAGCUGUUCCGGGGAUGGAAUUUCCAUGGCACGAAUUUGGUGCGAUAUAUUUCCUUCCCGGUGCGCUUGAUAGCCUUUUGUACUAUUUUGGCAACACUUGGAAUUCGUUUCUCUGGAGUCUUGUCCUUCCUCAACCAGGGCGUCUGGAAGAAAUCUAACACCGCCAAAUCCACAUAUGUAGAGAAAUAAUCCCUUGCUUCGGUGGCGUUGUCUGCAUCACUGGGCUGGUAGGAGAAUUCCGCAGAGGACGCGAGCCACACAGUUGUGUUGCCAAACUUGAACUCCUGCAGCUGAGGCCAGACAGCCAGCGAAAAAGAAACGAAGGUGAGCAAGGUCACAAUAGAGGUCAGCAUUGUGAGAGAAAUCGCGAUAUCAAAGGGUAAGAUGGUUUGUAGUAGUAGUACGAAAGGAAGGCGAAAACAUGCAGAUCACAGAUGGCAGUAUUUGAAAAGAACGACGUGGGAGGGUCAAUUCGAACUGACGAUAAACGCAAGUUACUAGCAUUUCCCGUCCAAGUCGUCACAGCCUCACUUGGAAGUGUUCCAAGUAAAAUCCAUGAAGUGAAUAUAUCACAUUCUGUUUACCAUCUCCAAGUUUGGAGCAACACUUACAGAGAGGGGAGGAGUGGGGCAAACGUUGGAUAGCAAGAAUGUAACUCAACAACGGAGGAAUUAGGAUAUGUUGGGAUAGGAUUAGAGUCAACUAAUGGGGCAAUGGCCCGAGAAAAUAUGCGAGUUGAUGUGCACAGAGAAGUUGUUACUAUCAACAGAGUUCUCAGCAUCCCAUAGUUCCUAUCGUCGUUCCUCCAUGCGGGACUGAACGCCAGACCUUUCCCAAACAAAUUCUAAAAAAUAACGAUUUUCAGAUUUCAACCACAUAUUAAUAUGGGGA